rnacentral:rRNA from 1 species
AUUGAACGCUGGCGGAAUGCUUUACACAUGCAAGUCGAACGGUAGAGGGGGCAACCCCUCGAGAGUGGCGAACGGGUGAGUAAUAUAUCGGAACGUGCCCAGUCGUGGGGGAUAACGUAGCGAAAGUUACGCUAAUACCGCAUACGAUCUAAGGAUGAAAGCGGGGGAUCGCAAGACCUCGCGCGAUUGGAGCGGCCGAUAUCAGAUUAGGUAGUUGGUGGGGUAAAGGCUCACCAAGCCAACGAUCUGUAGCUGGUCUGAGAGGACGACCAGCCAGACUGGAACUGAGACACGGUCCAGACUCCGACGGGAGGCAGCAGUGGGGAAUUUUGGACAAUGGACGCAAGUCUGAUCCAGCCAUUCCGCGUGCAGGAUGAAGGCCCUCGGGUUGUAACUGCUUUUGUACGGAACGAAAAGGUCUCUCUUAAUACGGGGGGCUCAUGACGGUACCGUAAGAAUAAGCACCGGCUAACUACGUGCUAGCAGCCGCGGUAA